rnacentral:lncRNA from 1 species
AACACACACCUGCCCGUUUCCUUCCAAUUCAAUUUUCUCUCCCUCAUCUCUCUUAUAAAACAGAACACACAAAAGAAAAAUAGGGGGGAUCAGCCAAGAAACCCCAUUGAAACCAGCUGAAAAACAUAUCAAAAUUCAGCCACUAAACAGCCCCAAAAUCACUCCGAAAAUAGCCUGAAAUCACCCCCUAAAAUAGUCCAAAAGGCAUAAAAAAUAAUCCAAAAAAUGAGCUGAAAACCUCCACCAAACAGCUCCAAAAACAGUCUCAAAACACCCCAGAAAUACCCUUGUUUCCGUCGUAAUUAUACCAUCUCCAACCAGCUCCUUUUCCUCUAACAAACAACUACAACACCAUCUUGAAACUAGUCCCAAAGCCAGCUAACUCAUUUCUGUUUCCAAAACGACACCACAGGUUCCUAAAAUACGACACGAAGACAUACAUGUCGCAACUGAGGUUCCUUCGGCUUCAGUCGCUCGUGGUUUGCUAUUAAGGUACAAUGAAAGCAUUGUUGUUGUGCUCAUUUUCAACUGCUGUAGAUCUUAUUUAGCGAAUAAACAUUGAAGGUCCAUUUCUUGACCUUACUUUCUAUUUUUGUUUUAUGUUGGAGAUAUAAAAAAUUAUGUUUCGUUCAUAUUAUUUUUUUUAGACAAACUAUUAAUGCAUCUUGAUUUUUCUUGAGUGCAUUGACUGUUGGAUACUUUGUUAUUCUUCAUUUCUUUGCCUACUGUGUUAGCAUUGAACUUGCUUCAGUAGUUUCCUUUUUUCUUAAGAGCUUUAUUGGUAGUUUGGACCUGGGUUUAAUUGAUAAUGGGCUGGAUUACAAAAUGGACUAUUAGCUCAGAUAUUUGGGCCAUGGGGUGGUAAGAACUUGGUUAUUUAGAGUUUAAAUGGGGCAUAGAUAUAGGUAAGAACCGUGUGGUAUAAGACUUGAGCCAUGUGAAAAUAAAAUGAAGAGAAUGUCAAUUUUGUUAGAUCAAAUGACUUAGUAAUAGAUGUAAAAAUCAUUUCGAUAACUCCACAUCAAUAAACUAUUGUCCUUACAAUAAUCUCUAGUUUAGAAAAUAAUUCUUAUAAACACUCGUAGUUUGCUUUUAGGCACGUUAAUAAUAAAACAUAGUGACUAUGGGUACGAUUCCCGCGACAUAGUCAUGAUACAUAAUCCUCAAUUCGAUUGCGUAUUUCAUGCGACUUGACCAUAACUUCAAAUAAUAAAAAAAAAACAUGUUGUAAAUUGCGGGUGCGUUUCACGUGGCGCGAUUCGCAAUGUGUACAAAAACAACGAGUGUGUGACAUCGCGACUUGUUCAGAUAAUUUCAUAUUUUAAUAAUUAAAAGCGGAUAGAUAAAACAUAAAAACCAAUAAAUCACAGUUUAUCCAAAAUUAAUUCAAGCCAAGUUGUAGUCAAUAAAGCGACCGUGCUAGAACAACGGGACUCAGGGAAUGCCUUACACCUUCUCCUCGGUCAACAGAAUUUCUUACCCGGACUUUAUUUUCGCAAACCAAUAAUAAAAGAGUCAAAUCUUUCUUUGAAUAGGGAUUCAAAUAAAAGGUGACUUGGAACACCCAAAAAUCAAAUUCCAAGUGGCGACUCUGAAUAAUAAAAUAAUCCCUACUUUAAAAUAUCACUUUAAUUGGAAAAACUCUUUAACCCACAACAAUCCAUAAUAUCUUUCUUUUGGGGGUAAAACGGGGUGUGACACUCAUAACCAUACUAACAAUCAUGAUAAUAAUUGAAAGCAUUAAAAUACAGAUUAAGGAAGAACAGAAGAGAAAACUCUGUGAUUCGUUGCUUCCAAGUGUUCUGUAGCCUUUUGCCUCUCCAAUAGUGUCCUUCCCCUCUAAAAACUAAGUUUAGGAAGUAUUUAUAAGGUAGGGUUGAGGUUUACACGUCCAAAAAUUGUGAGAAAAUAAAAGUAGCUCGGAUAGCAUCGUCUAUAGCGUCAAUGUUUUUGCACGAGGCAAUGUCUAUGGAGCCAAUAUUUCUGCGCAAGGCACUGUCUGACCAAUGACAGUGCCCUGGACAAUGCCCUGCACUGUCUAUGGCCAUUACUUUUCACUGCCUUGCACGUCUUCUUUUAUUGCUCCAUUUUGUAGCUCUGAUAUACCAUUUCGUUCAACUUUUCUCCAAUUCAUGUCCAAGCAUUCCUACACGUGAAAUAAGCUCUAUUAAGCACAAUUGUCGCACAAAUUAACAUCCAAACAAUAAGUAAGUAGGGUAAAUAACAUCAAAAUAUAUAGAAUUAUAGCACGACAUCAACACCCCACACUUAAAUGUUGCUCACCCUCGAGUCAACCAACAAAAUACUUCCUCUUCAAGGACCCAACAAGCCACACAUUUACAACACACUACAUCUAUGACCAUGGUUGAUAGCAACAAUUAAGCUUUAGCAUAUGCUGUCAAAAUACACUUCUUGUACUUAUGCCCAAUUUUAAAACAUUUAACACAGGAACAACAUGAUUAUAACAAUCCUAGCCUCGAAAACUAACUCAAUGUCACAAUGCACCCGAGGCUGGAAUACUUAAUCUAAUAGAGAGGUCUAAUAAUAUUACCUAUCCUUUGUGAAACCAUGUACCCUCACAAUAAAACAAAGAGUAAGCAGUCCACAUAUCCAAAUCACAUGAUCAAAUAUAUUUUAAGGACUCACACAUAUGAAGAAAAUCACUCACUCUCUCAAAGAAAUCACAUGCACGCAAAAGGUACUAUAGGCUUGCCCAUUAUGUAAACCUCUACUAAUGUAGGUUCGCUCAGUUCAAAAUCAACUAGGAUUUAUUAAGGUUGUAAUGUGGGCUAAGGGACGGGUAGGAUAUAUUUAGGAUAUAGUGGCUAACCCUCCUAAGCACUUUAUCACAUCACGUAUUCAACUUUAAGCGCAAAAUUCCUUCAAUCAUCACAAGAUAGCUCACCCCAUAAUAUUUUUCCUUCUUCUUUACGCACUGCUUCAGAUCACAUCUAGCAAAAAUAAGAAACCUUUAUUUAUUUAUUUAUUCUUUUUUUCUCUUUUUCUUUAUUUUCUUUUUGUAUUUUUUCCUUACCGCUAGUGGAGUUUUAUUAAAAUACAAGUGCACAUUUCUUCCUUCUAUUGGUUCCACUCAAAAUCUACCCCAAGUUUCCUCAUUACUUCUUUCUAGUGCUCUCUUUACAAUUCAAGUGCUUUAAGAGGUAUAAGGAUCAAAAUAGUUCGAUUAAGAAAAAAAGGGGAUAGGCUUUGUAACGACCCGGCCGAUCGUUUUGAGAGUAGUAGCCCCGAACUCCUAUUUAUUUCUUCCCUUAUUUCAUGUUGAGAUUACAUAACUUGCCGGUAGGAUUUGUUUUUGGUUACGGAGUGUAAUGGGACACAUAGUCCUUAAAAUAGAAGUUUAAGUCGUAGGAAUCGACUGUGGUUUGAAUUAUGUGAAGACGACUCCAGAAUGGAGUUUCGAUGGUUCCAAUAGCUUCGUAGGGUGAUUUUGGUCUUAGGAGCAUGUUCGGAUAUGGAAUUGGAGGUUCGUAGGUCAUUUUAGCGCCAAUUGGCGAAAGUUGGAAAAUUGGAUAAUUUUUGAAAAGUUUGACUGGGAGUGGACUUUUUGAUAUCGGGGUCAGAUUCUGAUUUUGGAAGUUGGAGUAGGUCUGUAAUGUCAAUUAUUACUUGUGUGCAAAAUUUAAGAUCAAUUGGACUUGAUUUGAUAGGUUUAGGCGUCGGAGGUAGAAGGUUGAAGUUUUAAAGUUCAUUAGGGUUAAAUCGAUGUGCAAUUCAUAUUUUUAGCGUUGUUUGAUAUGAUCUAAAUGAUCUACUAAGUUCGUAUGAUGGUUUAGGACUGGUUGGUAUUUUUGGUUGAGGUCCCGGGGGCCUCGGGUGGAUUCCGGGUGGUUAACGGACAAAAAUUGGACUUGGAGCAUAGCUGAGCUUUGUUGUGUCUAGUGUAAUCGCGCCAGCGCAUUUUGGGCCAAAGGUGUGGCACCACAGAAGCGGCCAUCGAGCAGCAGAAGCAUAAUUGGGACUGCAGCUGAGACCGCAGAUGCGGUCGUGCCCCCGCAGAAGCGAGCAAAGGCAACCUAGAAGCGGAAUUUGGCAAGGGAGUUGGGACCGCAGAAGCAGUUUGGAGGCUCGCAUAUGCGGAGUGAGGUGACGCAGGAGCGAAAGAAGCCGCAGAUGUGGGUCAAUGGUUACUUCUGCGACGCCGCAUAAGCGGUUAAGUUUUUGCAUAAGCGAAAAGCCUGGGCAGACUAUAUUAAACCAAGGGUUCGUGAUUUUAUCAUUAUUGAACAUUUUGAGCACGGGUCUUGGCGAUCUUUGAGAGCAUUUUCGAGUGAUUUCUUGAGGUAAGUCUGUUGUGUAAAUUUUUUAUUAAUAAUCUUGUUUCCCCAUUAAUUUUUCCACCAAGUUAGUGUAUAUUUAAGGUGGAAUUUGGGAGUCGAGGCUAGGUGUCACGACCCAAAAUCCAUAAUAGGUCGUGAUGGAGCCUAACACCGUUGUCAAGCAAGCCAACCAUAAUUAAUUAACUUCAUUACUCCUUUUAAUAUUUGAAAUCAUGAUUUUCUUUAAUUUAAUAAUAAAAGAAGAACUUUACGGAGUAAAUAAAAAUAAUUUCAUAAUUUCAAUACCAAACAACUCAUAAUCACCUCAAAACCCGGUGUCACAAGUGAAUAAGCAUCAACUAGGAAAUAUAAUAAAAAUGCAGCAUCUGUCCGGAAUACAAAUUAGACAGGAGAAACAUAAAUAACUCUUAUGGAGACUCUGCAGGUUGCGGAUCGUAACAUGAAAUCCAGCUCACAGUAAAUUCCCACAAUAUCCGCGCCUCUGCGCCCAAAAGACCACUGGGUAUAUAUGCACCUGCACAAAAUAUGCAGCAAGUGUAGUAUGAGUACGUAAAUCAACGCGUACCCAGUAAGUAUCUAGCCUAACCCCGGAGGAGUAGUGAUGAGGGGUCGACAUCGAAUCGACACUUACUAGAGGUCCAGUUAAAUAAAUAAUACGAUAAUUCAUACAAUUGUAAAGUACACAUCAAUAGGGGAGAAAUCCGAAGUUUCAUAGCGUUCCAAUUAUUUUCUUUUUAUCAAAAAUUUAUCGAUCAUGUAUCCUACCUCAAUAUCUCAGAAUAAAUUCCAAGUGUCAAUACCAAUCAGAUAAGAAAUACCAUAAAAUACCAGGCGUCAGUGAAAAGUUUAUCUCGUGAAUAUUCGGACUACUAGCGGUAUAACGCACGAUUCUGUCGAGGUCAUUCGGCCCUAUCCGGAGUAGUGUGUACACUGCCGAGGGUCGAACGGCACGAACUAGAGAUGCACCUUUAUAUACUGCCGAGGCGUUCGGCCCGCUCCACAAGAAAGGAAGGAAUUUAUCUCAUUCCAAGAGAUAUUGCCGAGGCGUUCGGCCUGCUCCACAAGAAAGGAAGGAAGUUUCUGAAUCACAAGAUACGCGCUUACAAUAAAGUACAUGAGCACAAUAAUAAGUACAUCUCUUUACAUUUAUCGAAUACCUUAGCAACAUCUCGGGGUAUUAAAGCUUGACCUGAUACUUUUAUUUCUAAAUCAAUUUCAGUUAUAACUUUAAUUAAAUAAGCCAGCAGAACAAGUUCAAAUAAUUUAAUUAUUACAGGAUAAGGUCCUAAGUCAACCCGGACAUAGACAUGCUUUAGCUACGAACGGACUCUCAUCACCUCGUACGUACGUAGCGCCCACAACUAGUUGUGCAUAAUAAUAAGUAUCACCUAGGGGUGGUUUCCCCCUUACAGGGUUAGAUAGGAGACUUACCUCGCUCCGAAGUUCCAUAACCGGCUCCAAAGCCCUCUAACACCUCAAACCGAUGCUCGUCGCUCCAAAACUAGUCAAUCAAUGUUCAAACAAAUAAAACUAUACUCUAAUACUCAUAACAAAUCAAUUUAGACAAAUUUCUAACUCCGCUCAAAAAGCCGAUAAAGCAACCCUCAGGCCCUCGUGCCCGGAUUCCAAAUUUUUUUGAAGAUAAACAUUACCCAUAACAUUACGAACUCAAAUAUAUGAUUUAUUCUCAAUUCCAUGCCCAAAUUCGUGGUCAAAAUCCAAAAAUACCAAUUUCUAGGUUUUCUACCAAAACCCCAAAUUUCUACAAAUUUCCAUGCUUGAAUUAUAAAUCUUGUAUUUAACUCACAACACGCGGAAAUCACUUACCUUGACAUAGAUGAUGAAAAUCCCUCCUUGAAGCUCUCUAAAAUCGCCCCAACCAAGUGAAAAAUGAGAGAAGAAGAGCCAAAUCCAACUCUUAAAAUGAUUCUGCCUAGUGAUGUUUCACACCUGCGAUGCCUUGCCGCAUCUGCGGUCCCGCACCUAUGACAAAAUCCUCGCAGGUGCGCAUUUCCCUUACCUGGCCAUGCUCUGCAUCUACGGACAAAAGUAACGCUUCUGCGAGCCCAUCCGCUCCUGCAACUACUGCUCUCGCACCUGAGGUCACGCAGGUAAGCCAAAACUUCCACACCUGUGGGCACGGACCAGCUCGCCCAAAACCGCUUCUGCAUCCCUCCUGGCCACUUCUGCGGCUUCGCACCUGCGGCCAAAACCUCGCAGGUGCGGUUACACCAGAUACCAGCUGCCUUGUCAUUUUACUUAGUCCAAAAAUUGAUCCGUUAAGCAUUCAAAACUCACCUGAGGCCCACAGGACCCCGUUCAAUCACACCAACCAGUCCAAUAACAUAACACGGACCUGCGCGAGGCCUUAAAUCACAUCAAACAACAUUGAAAUCAUGAAUCGCACCCGAAUUCAAGCUUAAUAAACUUUAGAACUUCAAACUUCUAUAUUCGAUGCUGAAACCUAUCAAAUCACGUCCGAUUGAAAUCAAAUUUUGCACACAAGUUACAUUCGACAUUACGGACCUACUCCAACUUCCAGAAUCGGAAUCUGACCUCGGAAUCCCAAACGGAUGUCGAUAUCAUUGAAUUGCACUUCAACUCAAAUUUAUGAAAUUCUUCCAAAAUAACAACUUCCAUAAUAGGCGCCAAAACGCUCCCUGGUCAUCCAAGACCCGCUCCAGACAUAUGCCCAAGUCCAAAAUCAUCAUACAAACCUAUUGGAACCUUCAAAUCCCGAUUCCGAGGUCAUUUACGUAAAAAUCAACCCUGAGCCAACUCCUCUUAAAGCUUCUAAAAUUAGAAUAUUCUCUCCAAAUCAACUCCGAACUUCCCGAAUUUCAAUUUCGACCACACGUAUAAGUCAUAAAACUCGAAGUGAAGCUACUCAAGGCCUCAAAUCACCAAAUGACGUGCUAGAGCUCAAAACGACCGGUCGGGUCAUUACACUAUGGAUUUGAGGAGUUUGAUUUGAGUAUUUGAGUGGCGACUUGUUGUUAGAUUUUGGUAAAAAUUGGUAUGGGUGAACUCGUGGUCGAAUGGGUGUUCGUAUUUUGUGACAUUUACCCGAUUUUGAGAUGUGGGCCCGGGUCGACUUCUUGGGGCGAUUUUUUGAUUCUUUGCCUAAGUAGUAGUUUCAUUAUUUAAAUUAGUUUUUUGUAGUUGUAUUCAUGAUAUGUAAUUGAUUUUGGCUAGAUUUGGGCCAUUCGGAGUCGAAAAAUCGAGGAAAGGGCAUCCUUAUCGAUUGAUUGGGCGAGAUUUGAGGUAAGUGACUUGUCUAAACUUGUGAGGGAAAAUCCCCUAAAGAUUUGGUACUAUUAUAACAAUAUGUGAUAUGUGAGCGCCGUGUACACGAGGUGAUGAGUGCAUACACGGGCUAACUGUGGAAAUUUUCGGUUCUUGCUAAGUUGUCUUCUUUUAAAUUCCUUAACUGGGUUGCCUUAGCAUAUGUAGUAAUCAUGUUUAGCCUAGUAUCGCAUGUUUACGUGCCUUAACUCUUACUUGCAAUUUGUGCAACAUGCUUAGUUGAAUUACAUGUUUACCUUGAUUUGAAUUAAAUCUUUAACUGUAGGAUUUCUUGCUGUAAAUUCGUGUUUCCUUCGAUUAUCUACUGCAUAUUUACUUUGGGAUUACGAGGCGGUUCCUCGGGAGAUCCUCUUGUACUGCAUAUUUACUUUGGGACUACGAGGCGUUUACUCAGGAGAUCCCCCCUGUCUUGCAUAUUUACUUUGGGACUACGAGGCGGUACCUCGGGAGAUCCCCUCUGUCAUGCAUACUUACAUUUGGGACUACGAGGCGAUACCUCGGGAGUGCCACUGUUGUUACCUCUAAUUGCUGAGCUAUUAUUUUCUAAAACUUCUCGUUGUUUUAAAUUCGCAGUCAUUACAAAAUAUUAUUAUAUCUUCUGCCUUACUUUUCUUUUAAACCAGUAGGGCCCUGACCUGACCUCAUCACUACUCUACCGAGGUUAGGCUUGGCACUUACUAGGUACUGUUGUGGCAAACUCAUACUACACUCUGCACAUCUUUCUAUGCAGAUCCAGGUUCUUCCUACAAGGCCAGAUACUAGUGAGCUGGACUAUACGUGGAGACUUCAAGGUAUAUCUACCAACGUCCGCAGACCUCGGAGUCCCUCUCUAUCUUUAUUAUGGUGUUUCCAUUAUUCUCUUUAGACUUGAUGUAUACAGACACUUAGUAUUUGCUCUUAAAAGCUUGUGACUUAUUUCCAGCAAUUUUUGGGAAUUGUUAUUAUUGAUAUGCAGUUUUAUAUUUAUCUCAUGUGUUGAGAAUUGGAUUUUAAUUUUAUAUUAUGAUAUUCCGCAAAUUGUUAGGAUUACCUAGUCUUAAAGACUUAAUAUUAGGUGUCAUCACGAUAUCCUACGGAGAGUGAAUUAGGGUCAUGACACGGUGGUGUCAGAAUACUAGGUUCAUAGGUGUUAUGAGUCAAAGCAGGUUUAGUAGAGUCUUGCGGAUCGGUACGAAGACGUCUAUACUUAUCUUUAGGAGGCUAUUGAAUUGUUAGGAAAAGCUUCACUUCCUUGAUUCCUUAUCGUGCGAGAUUUUCACUUUGGAUUCUAAAUUUCUGUCUUUCCAUUCUCUCACGGAUGAUGAGGACACGUACAGCUGGAUCGGAUGACCAAACGCAUACGCCCCCUGCUAGAGCUGCGAGAGGCCAGGGCCGGGGUAGAGGCCAAGGACGUCCACUUGGUGCAGCUAGAGCACCCGCACGAGCUGCUACAGAAGAGCCACUAAUAGCUCCAGUUGGAGGACAGGAACCUGAGACGCCUAUCACUGCACUAGCCCUCUAGGAAACUCUAGCCCAGUUUCUGAGCAUGUUCAGCACCUUGGCUCAGGCAGGAUUGAUACCCCUUGAUUCUGCCACAUCUCAGGCUGGGGGAGGAGCACAGACUCCCAUCGUCGGUACCCUAGAGCAGCGGGUUCAGGUCAACCAGGUUCCAGAGAUCAUACAUGUCACGCUCCAACCUCGGGGAGCGCGACCGGUGCUUAAUCGAGUAGACCCGGUCGAGCAAGCCUGUUUGACACUAUCUACCCAACUCACUUAUGAUCAAGAGAAGGCAUGCUCUCAUUAGUUAGGCAGUAGAAAGUUCAUACAUAUAUACAUUGCUAAGUCGUUUCAUUUUGUUACAUCAUUGUUAAGUUUCAAAAUACAUACAUCCUUAUGACUGAGUGGAACAAGAGCCCAAAACACAACAUGAUCUGUUGACCUUUCUACAACCCAUAUACAACCCACAUAGUGUCUACGGAGCCUCUAAAGAUACAAAAGAGAGUAAAGAUGGUGCCGGCAACAAGGCCCGGGCUAUACCUCAAAAAGUGACCACAAUAAAAACAAAAGGUAUAAUAUAUGACCCCGGAAUGAAUGGGGCUCACCGAGUCCGCUGAGAAGAGGAUACAGCACUAUCUGUGAUCAACACAUUAACCUCAAAUUUUGCACACAAGCUACAUUCGACAUUACGGACCUACUCCAACUUCCGGAAUUGGAAAUCUGACCCCGAUAUCAAAAAGUCCACUCCCGAUCAAACUUCUUAAAAUUAUCCAAAUUUCCAACUUUCGCUCAAAUGACCCCAAAAUGACCUACGGACCUCCAAAUUCACUUCUGAACGCACUCCUAAGACCGUAAUAAUCAUACGGAGCUAUUCCCAGACUCAGAAUCCCAAACGGAUGUCGAUAUCAUUGAAUUGCACUUCAACUCAAAUUUAUGAAAUUCUUCCAAAAUGCCAACUUCCAUAAUACGCACCGAAAUGCUCCCAGGUCAUCCAAGACCCGCUCCGGACAUACGCCAAAGUCCAAAAUCAUUAUAUAAACCUAUUGGAACCUUCAAAUCCCGAUUACGAGGUCGUUUACUCAAAAAUCAACCCUGAGCCAACUCCUCCAACUUAAAGCUUCUCAAAUUAGAAUUUUCUCUCCAAAUCAACUCUGAACUUCCCGAAUUUCAUCGACCACACGUACAAGUCAUAAAACCCGAAGUGAAGCUACUCAAGGCCUCAAAUCACCAAAUGACGUGCUAGAGCUCAAAACGACCGGUCGGAUCGUUACACUAUGGAUUUGAGGAGUUUGAUUUGAGUAUUUGAGUGGCGACUUGGUGACAGAUUUUGGCAAAAAUUGGUAUGGGUGAACUCGUGGUCGAAUGGGUGUUCGUAUUUUAUGACUUUUACCCGAUUUCGAGAUGUGGGCCCGGGUCGACUUCUUUGGGCGAUUUUUUAAUUCUUUGCCUAAGUCGUAGUUUCAAUAUUUAAAUUAGUUUUUUGUAGUUGUAUUCAUGAUAUGUAAUUGCUUUUGGCUAGAUUUGGGACAUUCGGAGUAGGAAAAUUGAGGGAAAGGCAUCCUUAUCGAUCGAUUGAGUGAGAUUUGAGGCAAGUGACUUGUCUAAACUUUUGUGGGUGAAAUCCCCUAAGGAUUUGGUACUAUUGUAACAAUAUGUGAUAUGUGAGCGUCGUGUACACGAGGUGACGAGUGCGUACAUGGGCUAACUGUGAAAAUUUUCGAUUCUUGCUGAGUUGUCUUCUUUUAAAUUCCUUAACUGGGUUACCUUAGCAUAUGUAGUGAUCAUGUUUAGCCUAGUAUCGCAUGUCUACAUGCCUUAACUCUUACUUGCAAUUUGUGCAACAUGCUUAGUUGAAUUACAUGGGUCCCUUGAUUUGAAUUAAAUCUUUUACUGUAGGAUUUCUUGCUGUAAAUUCAUGUUUCCUUCGAUUAUCUGCUGCAUAUUUACUUAGGGACUACGAGGCGGUUCCUCGGGAGAUCCUCUUGUACUGCAUAUGUACUUUGGUACUACGAGGCGUUUACUCGAGAGAUCCCCCAUGUCUUGCAUAUUUACUUUGGGACUACGAGGUGGUACCUUGGGAGUGCCACUGUUGUUACCUCUAAUUGCUGAGCUGUUAUUUUUUGAAACUUCUCGUUGUUUUAAAUUCGCAGUCAUUACAAAAUAUUAUUAUAUCUUCUUCCUUACUUUUAUUUUAAACCAGUAGGGCCCUGACCUGAACUCAUCACUACUCUACCGAGGUUAGGCUUGGCACUUACUAGGUACCGUUGUGGCAUACUCAUACUACACUCUGCACAUCUUUCUGUGCAGAUCCAGGUUCUUUCUACAAGGCCAGAUA